rnacentral:rRNA from 1 species
CCUACGGGAGGCAGCAGUGGGGAAUAUUGGACAAUGGGCGGAAGCCUGAUCCAGCCAUGCCGCGUGUGUGAAGAAGGCCUUCGGGUUGUAAAGCACUUUCAGCGAGGAAGAACGCCUAGUGGUUAAUACCCAUUAGGAAAGACAUCACUCGCAGAAGAAGCACCGGCUAACGCCGUGCCAGCAGCCGCG